rnacentral:rRNA from 1 species
AUUGAACGCUGGCGGCAUGCCUUACACAUGCAAGUCGAACGGCAGCGGGGGAGAAGCUUGCUUUUCCUGCCGGCGAGUGGCGAACGGGUGAGUAAUACAUCGGAACGUGCCCUGUAGUGGGGGAUAACUAGUCGAAAGAUUAGCUAAUACCGCAUACGACCUGAGGGUGAAAGUGGGGGACCGCAAGGCCUCAUGCUAUAGGAGCGGCCGAUGUCUGAUUAGCUAGUUGGUGGGGUAAAGGCCUACCAAGGCGACGAUCAGUAGCUGGUCUGAGGGGACGAUCAGCCACGCUGGGACUGAGACACGGCCCAGACUCCUACGGGAGGCAGCAGUGGGGAAUUUUGGACAAUGGGCGAAAGCCUGAUCCAGCAAUGCCGCGUGUGUGAAGAAGGCCUUCGGGUUGUAAAGCACUUUUGUCCGGAAAGAAAUGGCUCUGGUUAAUACCUGGGGUCGAUGACGGUACCGGAAGAAUAAGGACCGGCUAACUACGUGCCAGCAGCCGCCGUAA